UUAUAUGAGAGUUUGAUCCUGGCUCAGGAUGAACGCUGGCGGCGUGCCUAAUACAUGCAAGUCGAACGAGUUUUGGUCGAUGAACGGUGC
rnacentral:rRNA from 1 species